rnacentral:rRNA from 1 species
UGGGGAAUAUUGCACAAUGGGGGAAACCCUGAUGCAGCGACGCCGCGUGAACGAAGAAGGUAUUCGUAUCGUAAAGUUCUGUCCUAUGGGAAGAUAAUGACAGUACCAUAGAAGAAAGCUCCGGCUAAAUACGUGCCAGCAGCCGCGGUAAUACGUAUGGAGCGAGCGUUGUCAGGAAUUAUUGGGCGUAAAGGGUACGCAGGCGGUUUAAUAAGUCGAAUGUUAAAGAUCGGGGCUCAACCCCGUAAAGCAUUGGAAACUGAUAAACUUGAGUAGUGGAGAGGAAAGUGGAAUUCCUAGUGUAGUGGUGAAAUACGUAGAUAUUAGGAGGAAUACCAGUAGCGAAGGCGACUUUCUGGACACAAACUGACGCUGAGGUACGAAAGCGUGGGGAGCAAACAGG